UGGUGGGUAGUUUGACUGGGGCGGUCUCCUCCUAAAGAGUAACGGAGGAGCACGAAGGUUGGCUAAUCCUGGUCGGACAUCAGGAGGUUAGUGCAAUGGCAUAAGCCAGCUUGACUGCGAGCGUGACGGCGCGAGCAGGUGCGAAAGCAGGUCAUAGUGAUCCGGUGGUUCUGAAUGGAAGGGCCAUCGCUCAACGGAUAAAAGGUACUCCGGGGAUAACAGGCUGAUACCGCCCAAGAGUUCAUAUCGACGGCGGUGUUUGGCACCUCGAUGUCGGCUCAUCACAUCCUGGGGCUGAAGUAGGUCCCAAGGGUAUGGCUGUUCGCCAUUUAAAGUGGUACGCGAGCUGGGUUUAGAACGUCGUGAGACAGUUCGGUCCCUAUCUGCCGUGGGCGCUGGAGAACU
rnacentral:rRNA from 1 species